rnacentral:rRNA from 1 species
CCACCUACGGGGCGCAGCAGUGGGGAAUAUUGGGCAAUGGGCGCAAGCCUGACCCAGCAACGCCGCGUGAAGGAAGAAGGCUUUCGGGUUGUAAACUUCUUUUCUCAGGGACGAAGAAAGUGACGGUACCUGAGGAAUAAGCCACGGCUAACUACGUGCCAGCAGCCGCGGUAAUACGUAGGUGGCAAGCGUUAUCCGGAUUUACUGGGUGUAAAGGGCGUGUAGGCGGGGGUGCAAGUCAGAUGUGAAAACCACGGGCUCAACCUGUGGCCUGCAUUUGAAACUGUACCUCUUGAGUACUGUAG